AGAGAGGAGCUUGCUCUUCUUGGAUGAGUUGCGAACGGGUGAGUAACGCGUAGGUAACCUGCCUUGUAGCGGGGGAUAACUAUUGGAAACGAUAGCUAAUACCGCAUAACAAUGGAUGACACAUGUCAUUUAUUUGAAAGGGGCAAUUGCUCCACUACAAGAUGGACCUGCGUUGUAUUAGCUAGUAGGUGAGGUAAUGGCUCACCUAGGCGACGAUACAUAGCCGACCUGAGAGGGUGAUCGGCCACACUGGGACUGAGACACGGCCCAGACUCCUACGGGAGGCAGCAGUAGGGAAUCUUCGGCAAUGGGGGCAACCCUGACCGAGCAACGCCGCGUGAGUGAAGAAGGUUUUCGGAUCGUAAAGCUCUGUUGUAAGUCAAGAACGGGUGUGAGAGUGGAAAGUUCACACUGUGACGGUAGCUUACCAGAAAGGGACGGCUAACUACGUGCCAGCAGCCGCGGUAAUACGUAGGUCCCGAGCGUUGUCCGGAUUUAUUGGGCGUAAAGCGAGCGCAGGCGGUUUGAUAAGUCUGAAGUUAAAGGCUGUGGCUCAACCAUAGUUCGCUUUGGAAACUGUCAAACUUGAGUGCAGAAGGGGAGAGUGGAAUUCCAUGUGUAGCGGUGAAAUGCGUAGAUAUAUGGGAGGAACACCGGUGGCGAAAGCGGCUCUCUGGUCUGUAACUGACGCUGAGGCUCGAAAGCGUGGGGAGCGAACAGGAUUAGAUC
rnacentral:rRNA from 1 species